rnacentral:rRNA from 1 species
ACCGAGAUUCCCCCAGUAGCGGCGAGCGAACGGGGAGCAGCCCAGAGCCUGAAUCAGUGUGUGUGUUAGUGGAAGCGUCUGGAAAGGCGCGCGAUACAGGGUGACAGCCCCGUACACAAAAAUGCACAUACUGUGAGCUCGAUGAGUAGGGCGGGACACGUGGUAUCCUGUCUGAAUAUGGGGGGACCAUCCUCCAAGGCUAAAUACUCCUGACUGACCGAUAGUGAACCAGUACCGUGAGGGAAAGGCGAAAAGAACCCCGGCGAGGGGAGUGAAAAAGAACCUGAAACCGUGUACGUACAAGCAGUGGGAGCACGCUUAGGCGUGUGACUGCGUACCUUUUGUAUAAUGGGUCAGCGACUUAUAUUCUGUAGCAAGGUUAACCGAAUAGGGGAGCCGAAGGGAAACCGAGUCUUAACUGGGCGUUAAGUUGCAGGGUAUAGACCCGAAACCCGGUGAUCUAGCCAUGGGCAGGUUGAAGGUUGGGUAACACUAACUGGAGGACCGAACCGACUAAUGUUGAAAAAUUAGCGGAUGACUUGUGGCUGGGGGUGAAAGGCCAAUCAAACCGGGAGAUAGCUGGUUCUCCCCGAAAGCUAUUUAGGUAGCGCCUCGUGAAUUCAUCUCCGGGGGUAGAGCACUGUUUCGGCAAGGGGGUCAUCCCGACUUACCAACCCGAUGCAAACUGCGAAUACCGGAGAAUGUUAUCACGGGAGACACACGGCGGGUGCUAACGUCCGUCGUGAAGAGGGAAACAACCCAGACCGCCAGCUAAGGUCCCAAAGUCAUGGUUAAGUGGGAAACGAUGUGGGAAGGCCCAGACAGCCAGGAUGUUGGCUUAGAAGCAGCCAUCAUUUAAAGAAAGCGUAAUAGCUCACUGGUCGAGUCGGCCUGCGCGGAAGAUGUAACGGGGCUAAACCAUGCACCGAAGCUGCGGCAGCGACGCUGAUGCGUUGUUGGGUAGGGGAGCGUUCUGUAAGCCUGUGAAGGUGUGCUGUGAGGCAUGCUGGAGGUAUCAGAAGUGCGAAUGCUGACAUAAGUAACGAUAAAGCGGGUGAAAAGCCCGCUCGCCGGAAGACCAAGGGUUCCUGUCCAACGUUAAUCGGGGCAGGGUGAGUCGACCCCUAAGGCGAGGCCGAAAGGCGUAGUCGAUGGGAAACAGGUUAAUAUUCCUGUACUUGGUGUUACUGCGAAGGGGGGACGGAGAAGGCUAUGUUGGCCGGGCGACGGUUGUCCCGGUUUAAGCGUGUAGGCUGGUUUUCCAGGCAAAUCCGGAAAACUAAGGCUGAGGCGUGAUGACGAGGCACUACGGUGCUGAAGCAACAAAUGCCCUGCUUCCAGGAAAAGCCUCUAAGCAUCAGGUAACAUCAAAUCGUACCCCAAACCGACACAGGUGGUCAGGUAGAGAAUACCAAGGCGCUUGAGAGAACUCGGGUGAAGGAACUAGGCAAAAUGGUGCCGUAACUUCGGGAGAAGGCACGCUGAUAUGUAGGUGAAGCGACUUGCUCGUGGAGCUGAAAUCAGUCGAAGAUACCAGCUGGCUGCAACUGUUUAUUAAAAACACAGCACUGUGCAAACACGAAAGUGGACGUAUACGGUGUGACGCCUGCCCGGUGCCGGAAGGUUAAUUGAUGGGGUCAGCGCAAGCGAAGCUCUUGAUCGAAGCCCCGGUAAACGGCGGCCGUAACUAUAACGGUCCUAAGGUAGCGAAAUUCCUUGUCGGGUAAGUUCCGACCUGCACGAAUGGCGUAAUGAUGGCCAGGCUGUCUCCACCCGAGACUCAGUGAAAUUGAACUCGCUGUGAAGAUGCAGUGUACCCGCGGCAAGACGGAAAGACCCCGUGAACCUUUACUAUAGCUUGACACUGAACAUUGAGCCUUGAUGUGUAGGAUAGGUGGGAGGCUUUGAAGUGUGGACGCCAGUCUGCAUGGAGCCGACCUUGAAAUACCACCCUUUAAUGUUUGAUGUUCUAACGUUGACCCGUGAUCCGGGUUGCGGACAGUGUCUGGUGGGUAGUUUGACUGGGGCGGUCUCCUCCUAAAGAGUAACGGAGGAGCACGAAGGUUGGCUAAUCCUGGUCGGACAUCAGGAGGUUAGUGCAAUGGCAUAAGCCAGCUUGACUGCGAGCGUGACGGCGCGAGCAGGUGCGAAAGCAGGUCAUAGUGAUCCGGUGGUUCUGAAUGGAAGGGCCAUCGCUCAACGGAUAAAAGGUACUCCGGGGAUAACAGGCUGAUACCGCCCAAGAGUUCAUAUCGACGGCGGUGUUUGGCACCUCGAUGUCGGCUCAUCACAUCCUGGGGCUGAAGUAGGUCCCAAGGGUAUGGCUGUUCGCCAUUUAAAGUGGUACGCGAGCUGGGUUUAGAACGUCGUGAGACAGUUCGGUCCCUAUCUGCCGUGGGCGCUGGAGAACUGAGGGGGGCUGCUCCUAGUACGAGAGGACCGGAGUGGACGCAUCACUGGUGUUCGGGUUGUCAUGCCAAUGGCACUGCCCGGUAGCUAAAUGCGGAAGAGAUAAGUGCUGAAAGCAUCUAAGCACGAAACUUGCCCCGAGAUGAGUUCUCCCUGACUCCUUGAGAGUCCUGAAGGAACGUUGAAGACGACGACGUUGAUAGGCCGGGUGUGUAAGCGCAGCGAUGCGUUGAGCUAACCGGUACUAAUGAACCGUGAGGCUUAACCUUACAAC